rnacentral:rRNA from 1 species
UGGGGAAUAUUGCACAAUGGGCGAAAGCCUGAUGCAGCAACGCCGCGUGAGUGAUGAAGGCCUUCGGGUUGUAAAGCUCUGUCUUUUGGGACGAUAAUGACGGUACCAAAGGAGGAAGCCACGGCUAACUACGUGCCAGCAGCCGCGGUAAUACGUAGGUGGCAAGCGUUGUCCGGAUUUACUGGGCGUAAAGGAUGCGUAGGCGGAUUUUUAAGUGAGAUGUGAAAACCCUAAGCUUAACUUGGGGGACUGCAUUUCAUACUGGAAAUCUAGAGUGCGGGAGAGGAGAAUGGAAUUCCUAGUGUAGCGGUGAAAUGCGUAGAGAUUAGGAAGAACACCAGUGGCGAAGGCGAUUCUCUGGACCGUAACUGACGCUGAGGCAUGAAAGCGUGGGUAGCAAACAGGAUUAGAUACCCUGGUAGUCCACGCCGUAAACGAUGAGUACUAGGUGUAGGAGGUAUCGACCCCUUCUGUGCCGCAGUUAACACAAUAAGUACUCCGCCUGGGAAGUACGAUCGCAAGAUUAAAAACUCAAAGGAAUUGACGGGGUCAUAGCUGUUUCCU